UGUGUUGAACUUAAAAAAAAACCCUCAGAUUCAUUUGGGCAUUUUCGAACAAAAGGAGAAGGAGAGAGAGAGAGAAGGGGAAGAGAGAGAAGGAAAAUCUCCGCCGCUGCCCCCCCACCGCUGCUCCCCCUCCGGCGCUGCUCCCCAUCCGCUGACGCUCCUCCUCCCCCUCAACUCAUCAAUCGUCGGCCACUAGACCACCCACCACCAGCCACUAGCUCACCCUCUCCCUCCAACAGACCUUCGUUCGUCGGCCACUAGGAUUUGUAGAUUUACUGUGUUUGCUCCUCAAAAAAUAGUUCAAAUUCAAAGGAUCAGGUAUGGCUGGUGGCAAGCGAGUGAAAGGGACCAAGAAGCGAAAGUCACGUGAACACCCUCCUUAUCAUUUAGAAGAUAGUUAGUUGGUCCCUACUUCUGCAACUCAAGAGGACGAUAGUGAUGAGGAGGAGGAGGCAGUGAACUUGGGUGACACUAGUGUUCCUAACACCCAGACCCAAUCUCAAACCCAAACCCAGUUGCAUCAUACGUCGACAGUUUUGCAGGGGAAAACCUCUAACCCGUUUGGUAGGUUGGCUUUGGAUCCUUCUAACCUGUGGUUCGAAGAUGAACCUAUGAAAAAGGCUGUCUCUCGUUCAAUACAAGGCUACUACCGAGAACCUUGGAUGAAUUACGGGGAGGUUGAUGCUGGCACCAAAUCACAUUGGUGGAACUUGUAAAGUAAAAAAUUCACAUGGCCACCUGAGUUGGAGGACCAAGUGAAGAGGAGAUUCAACAUGAAGGCUAGUGAGAGACUACGAGACAUGUUCUACACAGUCACAAAGAAGAUGAAAGGAGCAAAACCUUACUGGGUGAAUGAAGACCUUCACAAGAAAAGGAUGGCUAUUCCAAAAGAAAAAUGAAACUCAUAAAAAGAGGUCCAAGCAGAACAAGUUGAAUAGGAGAGGUGGUUCCAUGUCAAAUGUGGUUGAGCCAUCCCACUUUCAAGGUUCCAUCUCGGCAGCACAACAUGCUAAGAGGAUGGCUUUGAAAGAUGGAGGCAAGUUGCCAUCAGCCCCUGAACUUUUUUUAAAGACUCACUUCAAGGACAUACCUGGGAAAGGAAAGGUGCCUGCUAAUGCUAAGUCCAAGCUGAUUGCGGUAAUAACUUAUACAUAAUCAGAUUUUAUUCAACUUUUUUUUUAUAAAUAAGGAACUAGAACACUCAAAUGCAGAACAUUUCAUAAAAUAAGGAUGGCGUAACCUCAAAUUCUAGGCUUAGUUGAGAUCAUUUAAGUCAUAAAUGUAUGUAAGUGUCAUGUUAGAGGCUUGAAUCAACUUGUUUGGCUAAUAUAUAGAGAAUUGGGAAAUGAAGAAGGUGUUUACCUUUAAUUUGACUUCGAAUGAGCCUAUAGAACUCAAACUUGGGUAGUUCACUAUAUUUACUUGUUUGACUUAUAGAAACUAAAUAAAUACAUUUAUUAUGCACAUAAGAGGCCUUAAUUGAAUCAUUUCACGAAAUAAAAGGAUUAUGGGCAUUGUAGAAGCUCAUAGGGUGACUUUAAAGCCCUUUGGGUUAUACAGAUGACGUAACCUCAAAUGCUAGGCUUAGUUGAGAUCAUUUAAGUCAUAAAUGUAUGUAAGUGUCAUGUUAGAGGCUUGAAUCAUCUUGUUUGGCUAAUAUAUAAAGAAUUGGGAAAUGAAGAAGGUGUUUAACUCUAAUUUGAUUUCGAAUGAGCCUAUAAAACUCAAAACUUGGGUAGUUCACUAUAUUUACUUGUUUAGACUUAUAAAAACUAAAUAAAUACAUUUAUUAUGCAUAUAAGAUCCCUUAAUUGAAUCAUUUCAUGAAAUAAAAGGAUUAUGGGCAUUGUAGAAGCUCAUAGGGUGACUUUAAAGCCCUUUGGGGUAUACAGAUGGCGUAACCUCAAAUUCAAGGCUUAGUUGAGAUUAUUUAAUUCAUAAAUGUAUGUUAUUGUCAUGUUAGAGACUCGAAUCAACUUGUUUGGCUAAUAUAUAAAGAAUUGGGAAAGGAUGAAGGUGUUUACCUCUAAUUUGACUCUAAAUGAGCCUAUAGAACUCAAAACUUGGGUAGUUCACUAUAUUUACUUAUUUGAACUUAUAGAAACUAAAUAAAUACAUUUAUUAUGCACAUAAUAUCCCUUAAUUGAAUCAUUUCAUGAAAUAAAAGGAUUAUGGGCAUUGUAGAAGCUCAUAGGGUGACUUUAAAGCCCUUUGGGGUACAGAGAUGGCGUAAACUCAAAUGCUAGGCUUAGUUGAGAUCAUUUAAGUCAUAAAUGUAUGUAAGUGUCAUGUUCGAGGCUUGAAUCAACUUGUUUGGCUAAUAUAUAAAGAAUUGGGAAAUGAAGAAGGUGUUUACCUCUAAUUUGACUUCGAAUGAGCCUAUAGAACUCAAAACUUGGGUAGUUCACUAUAUUUACUUGUUUACACUUAUAGAAACUAAAUAAAUACAUUUAUUAUGCAAAUAAGAGGUCUUAACUGAAUCAUUUGACGAAAUAAAAGGAUUAUGGGCAUUGUAGAAGCUCAUAGGGUGACUUUAAAGUCCUUUGGGGUAUAGAGAUGGCGUAAACUCAAAUUCUAGGAUUAGUUGAGAUCAUUUAAGUCAUACAUGUAUGUAAGUGUCAUGUUAGAGACAUGAAUCAACUUGUUUGGCUAAUAUAUAAAUAAUCGGGAAAGGAUUAGGGUGUUUACCUCUAAUUUGACUCCGAAUGAGCCUAUAGAACUCAAAACUUGGGUAGUUCACUAUAUUUACUUGUUUGCACUUAUAGAAAAUAAAUUCAUCUUUUAUGUUAAUAUUUGCAAUUCAAAAUUACAAGAGACCUAUCAAAAUAAACUGGAGGAAGAAACUAGUCAAAGGGUUGAAAAGAGCCCGAAUCAGCUGUAUAGGGAGACCGUAGGUGGGCGGAAGAAGGACCUUGUUAAGGGUCUUGGCCAAAGUGGAGAGUUCUACUAUGGCACCCCUCAAGAGAGAGGAAUCUGUUCUUCCGGGCAGUACACGCUGUCCAUUGUAACUCAGAUGCAGGAACAAUUUGAACAGAGGGUGCAAAGCAUGCGAACUGACAUGGAGGCCAAGAUUCAGUUUCGAGUCGAGUCUCAAGUGCAAGAGCAAGUUGCGGCCCAGGUCCAGGCCCAAGUUUCUACCCAGAUUGCUGCAAUGGAGAGACGGAACAAGGAGAUUAUGGACGAGAUGAUGAACCGCCUAUCUGGGUUCAACAACACCAUUUGUUCUACAUUGCAGCCUUAGCAUCGAGACCCUCGAGACGACUUGGGCAGCGGUGGAGGUCAUGCUACUGUAGACACCUAAAAAUGUCUCCCCAAAACCAAACCCGAUGAUGAACAACCUUUCACCGUCACUAUUGG